UACGGGGGGGGCAAGCGUUGUUCGGAAUUACUGGGCGUAAAGGGCGCGUAGGCGGCCUGCUAAGUCGAACGUGAAAUCCCCGAGCUCAACUCGGGAACUGCGUCCGAUACUGGCAGGCUUGAAUCCGGGAGAGGGAUGCGGAAUUCCAGGUGUAGCGGUGAAAUGCGUAGAGAUCGACAGGAACACCCAGGGGGAAACCAGCCGACUGGGCAUCUACUGACGCUGAGGUGCGAGAGCGUGGGGAGCGAACCGG
rnacentral:rRNA from 1 species